CACUGCGAGCAGGAAGGAGGGAGGAGCCGCAGUGACAGUUGGAAGCAAGAUGGCAGCAGAGAGGGAGCCCCCACCGCUUGGGGAAGGGAGACAGACUGAUUUUGAGGAGCUGGAAGACGGCGAGGACCUCUUCACCAGCACCGUGUCCACCAUGGAGUCAAGCCCAUCGUCUCCCGAGCCAGCUAGCCUUCCUGCAGAAGACAUCAGUACAAAUUCUAAUGGUCCUAAGCCUGCAGAUGUCAUUCUAAGUGAUGACCGUGAAGAUCUUUUUGCUGAAGCAACCGAUGAAGUCUCCUUGGAUAGUCCUGAAAGGGAACUUAUCCUUUCAUCAGAUCCUAGUCCAGCAAUCACUCCUGUGACUCCUACAUCUCUCAUCACUCCACGAAUGGAGGCUAUUAGUAUAUCUGCUCCAGUUAUUUAUGAUCGAUCAAGAGAUGAGAUCGAAGAAGAAGCAAAUGGAGACCUUUUUGAUAUUGAAAUAGGUGUUUCAGAUCCAGAAAAAGUUGGAGAUGGAAUGAAUGCAUACAUGGCAUACAAAGUGACAACCAAGACCUCCCUGACAAUGUUCAACAAGAAGGAAUUCUCCGUUAAAAGAAGAUUUAGUGAUUUUCUUGGUCUACAUAGUAAAUUAGCAUCGAAAUACAUGCAUAUUGGUUAUAUUGUGCCUCCAGCCCCAGAGAAAAGUAUUGUAGGUAUGACUAAAGUCAAAGUGGGGAAAGAAGAUUCGUCAUCAAAUGAAUUUGUAGAAAAAAGGAGGUCUGCGUUGGAAAGGUAUCUUCAACGGACAGUUAAACAUCCCACCCUGUUACAGGAUCCAGACGUGAGACAAUUCCUAGAAAGCAAUGAGCUGCCGAGGGCAGUUAGCACCCAGGCUUUGAGCGGAGCAGGAUUAUUGAGGAUGGUGAACAAGGCUGCGGACGCUGUCAACAAAAUGACAAUCAAGAUGAAUGAAUCGGAUGCCUGGUUUGAAGAAAAGCAGCAGCAAUUUGAGAAUCUAGACCUGCAACUUAAGAAGCUGCAUGCCAACGUGGAAGCCCUGGUGUGUCACCGGAAAGAGCUGUCGGUUAACACUGCUGCCUUUGCCAAGAGUGCAGCUAUGUUGGGCAAUUCUGAGGACCAUACUGCCUUGUCACGAGCUUUGUCACAGCUAGCAGAGGUGGAGGAAAAAAUUGACCAGCUGCACCAGGAACAGGCAUUUGCUGACUUUUAUCUGUUCUCAGAACUACUCAGUGACUACAUUAGACUGAUUGCAGCAGUAAAGGGCGUAUUCGAUCAGAGGAUGAAAUGCUGGCAAAAAUGGCAAGAUGCGCAGGUCAAUUUGCAGAAGAAACGUGAGGCUGAGGCCAAACUUCAAAUAUCUAACAAACCCGACAAAAUUCAGCAAGCUAAGGAUGAAAUCCGAGAGUGGGAAGCAAAAGUUCAACAAGGAGAAAGGGAUUUUGAGCAGAUUUCCAAAACCAUUCGCAAAGAAGUAGGAAGAUUCGAGGCAUAGAGAGUAAAGGACUUCAAAACUGUUAUUAUCAAAUACUUAGAAUCAUUAGUACAAACACAACAACAGCUUAUAAAGUACUGGGAAGCUUUUCUACCUGAAGCCAAAGCCAUUGUCUAGAAUGAAGAUUUCAUGUCCGGCUCAUCAAACGAUGGAUCACCUCAUUCCAAAACAAAAUCAUGUCUAAAACAAAUCAAAGAAAACACCAAGAUAAACCACUCUAUAUUUUAUUAACACGUGGCUUCUUUUUAUAUACUAUUGCGUUUUAAUAGCAGCGCUGCAUGUCCUGACGCAUUGCAAUGGACUGUGGCAUGAUGUUCUGCAAUAUUUUGCUGAAUUGAACACUAAUGUGUCUUAUUUUUUUGCAUUUAACAAGUGCAGAAAAAGGCAAGGAAGUUUUACGUUUGCGUUAUUUUUUUUUUCCUUGAAAAUGACUUCUGUCCAAUGAUAUAUACCUAUCUUAUGAAACAAAAUAUGGUUGCAUUUCUAAGUGUUCACUUAACACAUUCCUGUACAGAUAUGAUUUUGUGAUUAUUAUAAUAAAGGUAUAUUCCUUGUGA